AUUGAACGCUGGCGGCAUGCUUUACACAUGCAAGUCGAACGGUAACAGGCCGCAAGGCGCUGACGAGUGGCGAACGGGUGAGUAAUUCAUCGGAACGUGCCCAGUCGUGGGGGAUAACUACUCGAAAGAGUAGCUAAUACCGCAUACGAUCUAUGGAUGAAAGCGGGGGACCGUAAGGCCUCGCGCGCUUGGAGCGGCCGAUGUCAGAUUAGGUAGUUGGUGGGGGAAAGGCUCACCAAGCCAACGAUCUGUAGCUUGUCUGAGAGGACGACCAGCCACACUGGGACUGAGACACGGCCCAGACUCCUACGGGAGGCAGCAGUGGGGAAUUUUGGACAAUGGGCGCAAGCCUGAUCCAGCAAUGCCGCGUGCAGGAAGAAGGCCUUCGGGUUGUAAACUGCUUUUGUACGGAACGAAACGGCUCUGGUUAAUACCCGGGGCUAAUGACGGUACCGGAAGAAUAAGCACCGGCUAACUACGUG
rnacentral:rRNA from 1 species